AAUUUGAAAAUAUUUUGGGUUUUGUAAUAAAAUAUUGUCGUUCAUAUUUACACACUUGUGACGUAAUACAACAAAAUAUGUUAAACAUGUUGAAAGGAUGAUAAGAUUACUCCUAUGUGAGAAUUUUGAAUACAGAAUUAGAGAAUACAGUUCUAACUAUAUUAGAAGAGUAUAUGAAUCCUACAGAAUGUUACAUCGAUCGUUGUAUAUGAUUUUAUUCGUGUAUAGGCCUAGUUCAUCAGCUUUGACUAAAUAUGGUAUUUCAGGUAUGUAUGUGUCCGGAAGCUAUAUAUAAAAAGUAAACGUAUUAUCGCGCUAAAUCGGAG